ACCGGACACACACAAGUUUCCACGGCAACCCAGACUGCAGAGCGGUUUGCUAGCAUGCUGACCUUACCUGCGGGAACAGACCAGAUGGACAAUGGGAAGAGAAAAGCUCCAUGAUAAGGAUAAGCUGCCUUGAAUCAGAAUCUAUUAUUUCAGUUCUCCCUGCUCUGAGAAGAAAAAGGAAGCUCAUUAAUUGUGUGAGGCUGUUCAAAGGGAAACAUUCCUCUCCUUGGCCCCGUAUGAUAAAGGGCUUAUUGUCUGCAUCACAUCAGAGCUGCCCAGACAAGAUCACGAUGAUGGCUGGUACUUGAGCAUUAUUUACUGAAAGCACUUGUCAACCUGGCCCAGUCUGAAUCUCUGUUUUGCACUUUCACUGUUAAUGAUAAUGUCAUGGCGGUGAACAAGGGAGUUGACGCUGGGGCCAUCCUGCUUCUGCAGCUCACCCGCUUGCUGGUACGUGACCUUUGACAAGUUACAUAACCUCUCUAAGUUUUAAUUUUCUCAUCUAUAAAACAGGUAGAAAGAGAAUUCUUACUCUCCAGGGUUGUUAUGAGGAUUAAAUAAUCCAUGAACGCAUCCUUAAUUUAGUAAACUCUAUUAAACAUGAACUAUUGCCAGAUGGAACCUUUCAGAACUGUUCUGUAUGGACAAGCAAACAUCUGUACAAAUGCAUCCUUUUAUUUCUACACAAAUGGAAUCUCAUAUUGUUUAGUAGUUUUUCAUUUAAUUACCUAGCACGUGCAUUUUUUUUAUAACUCUGCAUGUGUGUGUGGGGUGCCUGUCUGCCUCAUUCCUCUUACAGGCUGCCGAGUAGCCUGCCAGGCAGAGGUAAUAUAAUUCAAUUUAGAUGAUUUUCCUUUGUUAGCCAUUGGGAUUGUUUCUAGUUAUUUACUAUUAUAAAACCUGUGGCAGAAGAUAUCUGGUGCAUAUUUCUUUGUAUACUUAUAGAACUAUACAUGCUUCUAGAACUAGAAUUGUUGAAUUAUUAAGAAAGCACAUUACAAAA